AUUGAACGCUGGCGGCAUGCUUUACACAUGCAAGUCGAACGGCAGCGGGCCCUUCGGGGCGCCGGCGAGUGGCGAACGGGUGAGUAAUGCAUCGGAACGAACCGUGUAGAGGGGGAUAACUGUCCGAAAGGAUAGCUAAUACCGCAUAUGCCCUGAGGGGGAAAGCGGGGGACCUGGAAACAGGCCUCGCACUAUACGCUCGGCCGAUGUCCGAUUAGCUAGUUGGGUAGGUAAAGGCUGCCCAAGGCGACGAUCGGUAGCGGGUCUGAGAGGACGAUCCGCCACACUGGAGCUGAGACACGGUCCAGACUCCUACGGGAGGCAGCAGUGGGGAAUUUUGGACAAUGGGCGCAAGCCUGAUCCAGCAAUGCCGCGUGAGUGAAGAAGGCCCUUGGGUUGUAAAGCUCUUUCGGUCGGGAAGAAGGAGGAGUGGUGAAUAGCCAUUCUGACAGACGGUACCGGCAUAAGAAGCACCGGCUAACUACGUGCCAGCAGCCGCCGCAG
rnacentral:rRNA from 1 species